UGCUUCAUCAUAACCUGGCCGUCAUUCAGA
rnacentral:piRNA from 1 species